GAGACAGCAGCCGCCGCGGGAAUACGUAGGGUGCAAGCGUUAAUCGGAAUUACUGGGCGUAAAGCGUGCGCAGGCGGUUAUAUAAGACAGAUGUGAAAUCCCCGGGCUCAACCUGGGAACUGCAUUUGUGACUGUAUAGCUAGAGUACGGCAGAGGGGGAUGGAAUUCCGCGUGUAGCAGUGAAAUGCGUAGAUAUGCGGAGGAACACCGAUGGCGAAGGCAAUCCCCUGGGCCUGUACUGACGCUCAUGCACGAAAGCGUGGGGAGCAAACAGGAUUAGAUACCCCAGUAGUCCCUGUCUCUUAUAC
rnacentral:rRNA from 1 species